rnacentral:SRP_RNA from 1 species
CGGGUGGGCAGGCCGGGGGGUUAGCGGUCCCCUGUAACCGGAAACCCGCUUAUGCCGGGGCCGAUACCUGCGGGGCGGCGGGUUCCAGUCCCGGGCAAAUCUUCCAGCAACCGGUGAUGGCCUGUCCUGCUGGGCGGUGGCGCUGGGUGAAUCGGCCAGGCCCGGAAGGGAGCAACCGUGGCUCAGCGCCACCGUGCUGGCAGGGGCGCAGGCCGGAGGGUAGCUGGAAGAGCAGCUCGGGAUCGGGGACCCGUCCACCCGCAGGUGCCCACCCG